GAGCGCAACCCCUAUCAAUAGUUGCCAACAGGUAAUGCUGGGAACUCUAUUGAAACUGCCGCCGUAAGGCGUGAGGAAGGAGGGGAUGAUGUCAAGUCAUCAUGGCCUUUAUGCCCAGGGCUACACACGUGCUACAAUGGGCAGGACAAAGGGCUGCAACAUAGCGAUAUGAAGCCAAUCCCAAAAACCUGCUCUCAGUUCAGAUUGGAGUCUGCAACUCGACUCCAUGAAGCUGGAAUCGCUAGUAAUCGUAUAUCAGCAAUGAUACGGUGAAUACGUUCCCGGACCUUGCACACACCGCCCGUCAAGCCAUGGGAGCCGGGUGUACCUAAAGUCGGUAACCGCAAGGAGCUGCCUAGGGUAAAAUCGGUGACUGGGGCUAAGUCGUAACAAGGUAGCCGUACCGGAAGGUGCGGCUGGAAUACCUCCUUU
rnacentral:rRNA from 1 species